rnacentral:lncRNA from 1 species
CCAGAGCCCUAGAGAGCAGGGUGCUCCUUCAGACCCCAGGCCUUGUCUCUAGCCCUUCCUAAGUCAUCUCACUUCUCCCUACUUCUCACCUUCUGCCUUGGGUCCAACCUACUCCUAGGCUAUGAAGCCAUCCACCAGCCUUACCUAGGCACAGGCCAAUGCACUGCUGCCUGGGACAACAGAACUGGCAUCACCCAAGAAUCCGAAGGACUCGGCUGAAUAAAGACCAUGAUCCGAAGUUAAAAGGAGUUUCAGUAGUCCCUCAAUGACCAACAGCCGACCUUAAGUUCACCACCAGAUGCUUCAUGACAAACUCACAAAGGCAAUAGCCACAAAGGGCCAACAACUUUCCCUGGGCAUCUAUCCAAGCCUGUCUUCAUGGUCCCUUCCAACAGCUGGACGUAUUGGCUGCCAGAUGUCCCUGAAACCGCAGGCUGCCUUACCUAUGUCAGGUAAUUUGGCUUCCCUGAUUGACCCAUCACUGAGAUCAUCACUAGCAGAAGGGAUACUGUUCCAGAACUAGCAGCCUCCAUUUCCUCCUCCUUGGGAUGUGUGUUGUGAGAAGCUCAUGUCACAUAAAAGGCAACAUGUGGGCACCUAAGCAGAUAAUCCCCAACUGAACACCCACUCAACAACUAGUGCCAACUGCCAUCCAUGAGCAUGCACCAUCUUGGAUGUUCCAGCCCAGUCAAGCCCCAGAUGACUGCAGCUCCAGCCAACAACACACGGAACAGAAGAACCACCCAGCUGAGCCCAGCCAAUCCCUGAGCCCAGGGAAUUAUGAUGAUGAAACUAUACCCUAAAGAGUUAAUGAAACCAAUGACAGAAAUUACUGAGUUUGCAGGAUAACAGAUAAGAAAAAAAAACAACUUGCUGAGAUGCUGAAAUUCCCUCCUCUUCUGAGUAUUUUUUUUUUUUUAACUCACAAGUUUUUUAAAAAGUUGGCAGUGGGCUAAAAUUAAUUGGAACCAGGAUGACCAACUGGAGAUUGUGCACAAGUUUGCUGACAUCACAGCCCAAAUUUCCACCACAUAUUUCAUACUAACUUCUCCCAAAUUUGCAUAUGCAACCUAUGAAGUAACAUAAAGAAAUAAGUACACACACCCAAGGACUUUCCAGACUUCCCCUUUCCCUCCACCAACCACCUGCUAAUCCCAGUAUCUACCCCCUAAGCCUUUCCUAAU